rnacentral:rRNA from 1 species
AGUGAACGCUGGCGGUAGGCCUAACACAUGCAAGUCGAACGGCAGCACAGUAAGAGCUUGCUCUUACGGGUGGCGAGUGGCGGACGGGUGAGGAAUACAUCGGAAUCUACUUUUUCGUGGGGGAUAACGUGGAAACUUACGCUAAUACCGCAUACGACCUACGGGUGAAAGCAGGGGAUCUUCGGACCUUGCGCGAUUGAAUGAGCCGAUGUCGGAUUAGCUAGUUGGCGGGGUAAAGGCCCACCAAGGCGACGAUCCGUAGCUGGUCUGAGAGGAUGAUCAGCCACACUGGAACUGAGACACGGUCCAGACUCCUACGGGAGGCAGCAGUGGGGAAUAUUGGACAAUGGGCGCAAGCCUGAUCCAGCCAUACCGCGUGGGUGAAGAAGGCCUUCGGGUUGUAAAGCCCUCUUGUUGGGAAAGAAAAGCAGCAGGUUAAUACCCCGCUGUUCUGACGGUACCCAAAGAAUAAGCACCGGCUAACUUCGUG